UUUAAUUACCUAUAUACCUAUAAAAUGCCUGGGGACAUCAAGAACUGGGUGGAUGCGCACAUGAACUGCGAAGACAUCGCCAUGAAUUUCCUGGUGGCUAAUGUCACAGGGAAAGCUGUCAUCAAGGUGACCCCACGAAAGAAAUUCAAGUGUCCUGAAUGCACAGCCAUUGAUGGGCUUUCGCUAGACCAGACACACAUGGUGGAGAGGUCUGAGUGCAUCAACAAGUUUGCUUCUGUCUUUGGGACAAUGCCCCUCAAAGUGGUGGAGCACCGAGCCGACCCUGUGCUGUACAAGGAUGACUUUCCUGAGAAACUGAAGAGCUUCCCCAACAUCGGCAGCCUGUGAAGCAUGCCAUUCUGGGGGUCUGUUCAGAAGCUGGGCAGGAAGAGGACGGGCCUCCCUAACACUUUUUAUGGGGGUGUUGGAGAGUAGAAGGGGGCAGCCUGGGUCUCAGUGGCCAUGUGUGUCUACCUAACCAUAUUCCCAAGAACAGAGCUCUGAAAACUCUAUGUGCACCAUGAACUGGGCAGCCUGUACUGUGUCCUCAGUAUCCUGUGGCCCUCUGAAGGUGCCAAGGGAAAGACACCUUGGUAGUGCGCUGCAGAUCUGAAUUCAGUGCGGCACCCUUUGUUUGGAGUCUAGGUGAUAGGCUCACUGACUGCUCAACUGCCUGGUGAGGAGAAAACCUGUCAGCCUGCUCUAGGUCCCAGAAAUCAUGGCCAAGAUGCCCAGGCCUCACUUCCAGUUACUUCACCCCAGAGAGUCUUAGGAGGACUAUGGUGCAAAACCCAGCAUCUUUGUGGAUUUGACCUGGGCCUGGGGCACGGGCACAUGCAGAGGAAGAGUGCUGGCUUCUGAGCCGAGCCUGCCAGUCCCUAAAUGACUACUCUUUGGUUUAGUUUUUGAUAUGAUUAAAAAUAUUUUUUACUCCUUUUUAUUUAUUUAUUUUUUUACUGUGUCUUAAACACGGAUUUCUGAUAGUUCAGAGAACCAUCCUUCUUUUGUGUAUUUAACCCCACCUCUGGCCUAACAACAGUCUGGGAAGACACAGCCAGGAGAAAUGUCAGGUACCAUGUGCAUUGAGUGUAAGAAGGGCCCAGAUCACAGCCAUUCUAAGAGCAGAUGACUCCAGAGCCUCCAAAGGAAUCUUUGCUUCCUGAUAGGGCCCAGUCAGUGUUUUGAAGGUGUGCUGGAGGGAAGGGGAGGGGAACAGGAGACCCAUGAUAACCAUUCACUGAGUCACUUUAGCUGGUGCCAUGUUGUAAAAAGUCGAGGUCUUUGUGACCCUCACCCCAAGAGGAUGCCAAAAUUUCCCUCAUUCUUUUGUUAUAAAUGUAACAUUAGCCAGGGAGGUUCUGGCUAACGUUAAGUGCUGCUAUAACAACCACUUUGCAACAGUUGCCGGUAUAUUUAAAUCAUUAAGUUUCAGCAUUUAGUAAUAUUGCACAUGUGUGAAUUAUACCUCUUUAAGCCCAGUUGAUGAACAAAUCUACUCUGGCAAAUGUUAAAUGUUACGGAUUCAAAACAGAUUUAUCUGGCUCUAAUAUUAAGAUUAGCCACAGUUUGGGCCUUAGCCAUAACAUAUGUCCCCAGAACACAAAAUACAUGACAAUUUGCUUAGAAUAUGGAUAUGAUUAUGGAAACCCAGUUGUAUACCAGUCGAAGUCACUCGCACUCUCCCGGAUUGUUGUGCUGAGCAACACGAAGGUGGGCAAUGACUGUGCUGUGGUCUUAAGCCAUCACUUUGCAUGUGUUCCCACUGACUGAGGGGCCAGAGGACGGUGUCAGAGGUGAAAGUGGAAGUCCUAAGCUGCAUCUUGCUUCAGAUUCAGUAGUGAUGGAGUCACGGACUAUCUACAGAAGGGAUGAGGAGUACCCGCCCAGCUCGCUCAUGCUGCAGAUGCAGACAUUGGGGCCACAAUUCACUCAGCGAAUUUGCGCUGCAAACACAGGUUUAGGACCAAACCGCCUUCUCUGGGAGAAUUAAAGAGGAUGAUAGAGCUUCAUUCUCAGAAUCUCUGGUCUUCCCUGCCAGCGAUGCUCCAUUGUCUCUCUUCAUUCACUGUCAUCAAGUUCAAAACUCUGACAUCUCUACCUCCUCAACCAAAGCUAGCUUUGAGCUAAGUGCUUUGGGUGCUUGGUCCUCUACUGCCCAUGGGAAAGAUCACCUCCCUGGGAGUGCAGAGCAGGACUGGAGCUGGAGUGGGGAGUGCCCCUGCACUCACUGCCUGAAGGAGUUGCUAAAGACUCAUCUGGCCCCAGCCCCUUCCUGGGAUGCCAGUCUCUGACAAGCCCCAAGUUGCAAGGAGGCUUCUGUGUCCAAAUCACUGGGAGACAUCAGACUUCCUGCCAUAGUACUGAAGUAGAAUUUGGGGUUAAAGAUCCAAGAACCUUAGAUGAUUAGGGAGCGACCAGAUUAGGGAGUGGUGGGGUUCUGCUAAGGUUCUUCCUGGCUCUGCAGGGCAAAGCCUAAGGCUGCUGGGGUUCCCAUCAGCACUGCCCUGGGCCCAGGGGUGGAAGGGUCUCCUUUGCUUUAGGACAGUGGCACCUUUGGAGGUCAGCUGCUUUUCUCUUUCCUCCUGGCCCAGAUAGUCUUUGGCUGCUCCCUGGGCAGCCCUGGCACAGAAAGGCAGAGACAGAAUGCAAAGCCAGCCAGACCUUUCCCAGUUACUUCCUGAGAGGCAGCUCUGGCAGGAGGGCUAACCAUAUUGGCAGGAGACGCAAAUUGAGCGUUCCACUGCAGGAUCUGGAGGCAGCCGCUUACCCCAGAGCUCUGUGGAGGCCCUGGAGGUACCAUCCUGGGCCAGUUUUGUUCCUCACCCCACUUCUGAGCAUGAGCAGGGGUAGCAUUUGGCCCCAUUGUACCAACCAUGUGAGGUCUGAGGAUCUGGAGACAGGCCUCCCUGAGCUGCUUCUGGCAGAGCAAAGUCAGGCAGACAGGACCUACUCUUCAUUUGAACACUAUCCCCUAUCUUUAAGGUGAGAGUUGUGAGUUCAUCUGAAGAUGGGGUGCAACCUUCUAAGCCUUCCUUCACCUUCAUUAGUGGAUUCCCAGGAAUCCCCUACAUGGGUGUGUGGCUCCAGGUUCCCUGGGAGGAUCCGUGGGACUCGGUAGGCGGUGAGGUGCUGUGACUUUUUAAUUUCGGGCUCAAUGUUGCUGGCAGUAGAGGGAGGAUGGUGAGGACGAGUCUGGCCCCUGUCCUGGCUUCCGGCUGCUUUCUCCUUGAGGACACAGCUGAGUCACCAGCAUCUGCGUCUGGCAUUUUAUUUUCUAAUGUGCAGCCUUUUUAGGGAACAGCUUUUUCCUUUCUUCUGCACUGAACCUGUUGUACCCCUGGUUAUAACUCUUCCCACAGUCUUGAGGUUCUGUGGGUCUGCUACAGGCCUGCUCAGCAAAGUACCAUCUUGCCUAGCACCUCUCAGGAGCUACACAUGAUGCCAACAGAGCCACCUGCAGGGCCUUGCACCGUGUAGCACCUUCCCUCAGAAUGCACCUAUUUGGACUUUUCUUUACAGAUAUAAACUCAUAGCACUGGCUCGUAUGCAGGAUAAGCCUAUGGUUUUCUAGAGAGCACGGCUGAAGAACAACUAGUUCCACCCCAAGGAGAGACAGGGGAGCAUCUCUGCUGUGGUCUGUGCAUGCUCGCGCUGGAACUGUGCAGCUGACAGAGACGCUGCCCUGUGCUCAGGAGGCCCCAGGGCUUGCAGGACUCUUGAGCUCUGUAAGUAGCAUGAGGCCAUCCAUGCCCAAGACUGUAAGCAUGGGCGUUCCAGUCCCGACUACACGUGAGGACUCUGUGAACCCAUCCUCCAACGGAUGGCGGAUGUGAAGAGAUUUCCUUGUUUCCUUUUCUCAUGGCACCUGCCCUUGAGUGUACGCUGGCCCUGGAGGGAGUCCAUGCCCCUGCCUUAGUCCCUUCAGCCAGAGACUGGGAUGGCAAGAGCAUGAAGACCUGGGUUAGGGGGGAGGGAACAGAGUCUCAGAUGUCUCCCUCUCCUAAUCAGGUCUUUUACCAGAUCUUACCUGGUGAUGCUGGCAGCCAGCCCUCUUCUGGCCCCUCUCCCUGCAUACCCUGUUACCAGAGAGCCUGGGGGUCUGGUUCCUGUCUGGCCCCGUCAGGGCGGAUUACCAAAUGAGUGGUUCUUUUGCCCCAGUCCUUUCCUGUGCUAUAAAUAAGCCCCAUGUUUAUUUUCUUAUGUUAUUGAAAUGAGCACUUGUGACUUGGGCCUCUUUUGACGAGUCCAGCGAACGUCCAUCCGGUGCCUGGUAAGGGCCCUGCAUGGCUGGCUGCUGUCUGAAGCUAUUUGGAGUCCUCUCCCUGUGUUUUGGAUGUGGCUUAAUUUCCCUAGAAAGGGCUGUAUGCUGCCUUGUAUCUGCUGAUUUUCAGGUUUCAGCUUUCUGCCAGCCUCCCUGCCUGCUUAGAAGUAAAGUUGUGUUUCUCAUUAAGGGGAUAACAGCCACAAUUGUGGUAAUUAACGAAAAUUGUACAGUGGUGGCAGUGGUUCCUCUAAGAUUUCCAAUAGUCUUCCUCUGGUAGAUCCUGAGGGGCUCACCUUCAGCUCCUCUGCCUGCCCUGCGCCAAGUUCCCUGUCCUGGCUUUCUGGACAUAACCAGUAAUUUCUCUCCUAAUAGCCUUGUUCUUGUCGCCAGCUAGGUUUGAUGUCUUGACAACAUGGCCAAGAGAGGAUUUUAUUAACUCCACCUUCUCCAGUGCAUGGAAGAUUCAAGGAUUCUCUCUCUCAUUCCCUCUCUCUCUCUCUCUCGCUCUCUCUCUCUCUCUCUCUCUCUCUCUCCUCAUAGCACCUUCCAUUCAUACCUGGCCCUUCUUUGGAAUUUAUAAAACAGAUGGAUGAAGGAGUAGAAGGGAAAUGCCUGGCAGCCUGUGCUGUGUUGCAUGCUACAUGGAAGUCUGGGGAUCGGGAGCUGUCCUGAGUGAGGACUUUGUGUGUUAGUUUGUCAGUAUUCAAGGCCUCACACUUGUCAGUUAGAUGCUGUACUACUUGAGCUGUGCCCUGGUCUUUUUUGCUUUUUUUUUAAACUUAUUUUUCUGGUAGGGUCUCACAGUUUUGCUUGGGCAGGCCUAGAUUGUGACCUCCUACCUAUGCUUCCCACAUAGCUGGUAUUAUAGACAUCCACCAUCAUGCCCAGUAUUUUGUUUAGGUUGGGGGGGGUCUCACUAACUUUUUGCCCAGGCUGGCCUCUAACCUUGAUCUAGCCAACCACAGCCUCCCAAGUAGCCACUGCAUGGGCCUGUGAAUGAUGACUUCGAAAGAGUGGUUUUUUUUCUUUGGCAGCACACCAAAAGUAUCCCAUGACACCAUGAGCAGGGCACAUCCUUAUUUAUUGAAACUUGGGCUAACGACAAUUAUCUACUUCUCAGAGUAGAUUAUUCUGGUUAGUUACUCAGCAGAGAAAUAUUUUCAUGGACACAACCUGAACUCAAAGUCUCUUAACGGAGAGA